AGUUUUUAACUCAAGUGGCGGACGGGUGAGUAACACGUAAGAAUUUGCCUUUAGGAGGGGGACAACAACUGGAAACGGUUGCUAAUACCCCAUAUGCUUUCGAGUGAAAUGGAUUUUUCCGCCUAGAGAGAAGCUUGCGGCUGAUUAGCUUGUUGGUAAGGUAAUGGCUUACCAAGGCGACGAUCAGUAUCUGGUUUGAGAGGACGAUCAGACACACUGGAACUGAGACACGGUCCAG
rnacentral:rRNA from 1 species